GUGUUCACUUCGGCAGCACAUAUACUAAAAUGGGAACGAUACAAAAAAGAUUAGCAUGGCCCCUGUGCAAGGAUGACAUGCAAAUUCGUGAAGCGAUCCAUAUUUUU
rnacentral:snRNA from 1 species